AAGACCAUACUUUCAGGAAUCAUUCCUACAGUGUGUUACUGAAAUUUCUCUGAAUGUGUAGAGCACCAGAAACCACAAGGAGGAGGCACAGUCUUCUCUCCUGAGCAUGCAGUCAGCUUGGUAUUGUUUCGCUGCAAAUGCCAUUUGCCAUUGAUAUUCAUUUUUCUCUUCAUUCUGGAGAGUAACAGGGAGAGGAUGUAAUCUGAGUGGU
rnacentral:snoRNA from 1 species